rnacentral:rRNA from 1 species
UACGUAGGUGGCGAGCGUUGUCCGGAUUUACUGGGUGUAAAGGGAGCGUAGGCGGGUAAGCAAGUUGAAUGUUAAAUCUAUCGGCUCAACCGAUAGCUGCGUUCAAAACUGCAUAUCUUGAGUGAAGUAGAGGUAGGCGGAAUUCCUAGUGUAGCGGUGAAAUGCGUAGAUAUUAGGAGGAACACCAGUGGCGAAGGCGGCCUACUGGGCUUUUACUGACGCUGAGGCUCGAAAGCGUGGGGAGCAAACAGG